rnacentral:rRNA from 1 species
UACGGAGGGUGCAAGCGUUAUCCGGAUUCACUGGGUUUAAAGGGUGCGUAGGCGGGCAAUUAAGUCCGUGGUGAAAUACCUGAGCUUAACUUGGGAACUGCCAUGGAUACUAUUUGUCUUGAAUGUCGUGGAGGUUAGCGGAAUAUGUCAUGUAGCGGUGAAAUGCUUAGAUAUGACAUAGAACACCUAUUGCGAAGGCAGCUAACUACGCGAAUAUUGACGCUGAGGCACGAAAGCGUGGGGAUCAAAC